rnacentral:rRNA from 1 species
GAUGAACGCUGGCGGCGUGCCUAAUACAUGCAAGUCGAGCGAACGGACGAGAAGCUUGCUUCUCUGAUGUUAGCGGCGGACGGGUGAGUAACACGUGGAUAACCUACCUAUAAGACUGGGAUAACUUCGGGAAACCGGAGCUAAUACCGGAUGAUAUUUUGAACCGCAUGGUUCAAAAGUGAAAGACGGUCUUGCUGUCACUUAUAGAUGGAUCCGCGCUGCAUUAGCUAGUUGGUAAGGUAACGGCUUACCAAGGCAACGAUGCAUAGCCGACCUGAGAGAGUGAUCGGCCACACUAGAACUGAGACACGGUCCAGACUCCUACGGGAGGCAGCAGUAGGGAAUCUUCCGCAAUGGGCGAAAGCCUGACGGAGCAACGCCGCGUGAGUGAUGAAGGUCUUCGGAUCGUAAAACCCUGUUAUUAGGGAAGAACAUAUGUGUAAGUAACUGUGCACAUCUUGACGGUACCUAAUCAGAAAGCCACGGCUAACUACGUG